UGAGAAGCCAGAAUCCUGUCCUACUCCCCUUCCAGAUACACUUUUAUGACUGAAGGUGGUGACUUUAUGGGGUGAACCCUCUUGCAGAUGAGCAUCCAGUCUGAAGACUAGGGAGAUGCAGAAAAGAAGCAAGAAGCCUGGGGUCAGUCAUUGAAGCUACUGGAUGCUGAAGGUGCUGAAGGAGCACUCAAGGAACACAAAGCCAUUGCAGAAAAGCUAAAAUGAAUGUUUUGCAUCGAUCUUCACUGCAGAGGAUGUGAGAGAGGUUCACAUAUCUGAGCCAUUCUUUUAGUACUGCAGCCUGAUGCUGAGAGUUGCUGAUCCUUUGCAGAUCCUGUUGGCGGCAAUUGAAAUUGGAAGUGUUCAGCAGUUUUCAGGAUCAGGUCCUUGCUUUACUCAGACAGUGAUCUUCAGAGAAUUGAGGUUCCAGAAAACUUGCAUCCAAGGAGUUGUAAAAAGAACCACCUGAGGAGUUUGCUGGACCAUUAAUGCUGAUUUUCAAUAAGUCUUGGAGAACUGGGGAACUUCCAGAAGACUGUAAGGAAGCUAAUGUUGUGCCUGUUUUUAACAAAGGUCAACAGGAUG